rnacentral:ribozyme from 1 species
AGUGUGCGAUAGACAUACCUCCACGUGGUGCACACUGGGCAACGUAUACUCAUACGGCAAAAGGUACCU